rnacentral:rRNA from 1 species
GACGAACGCUGGCGGCAUGCCUAAUACAUGCAAGUCGAAGGAAGUGGCGCACGGGUGAGUAAUAUAUCUCUAAUCUGCCCCUUGCUAGAGGACUACAGUUAGGAAUGACUGCUAAUACUCCAUAGCAAGUGAUGAGACUCUAUCGUAUCAGAUAGUCGGUGGGCUAACGGCCUACCGAGGCUAUGACACGUAACUGUUCUGAGAGGAUGAUCAGUGACAUCGGAACUGAGACACGGUCCAAACGCAUACGGGAGGCAGCAGUAGGGAAGAUCGCGCAAUGGGGGAAACUCUGACGCAGCAACGGCGUGUGGAGUAUGAUACGUGUCGGAGCGUAAACUCCGUUUGUUAGGGAAGCGGUACCCACCGAAGAAGCACCGGCUAACUCCGUGCCAGCAGCCGCGGUAAUAC